AGCCACAGAAUUCUCUCUCUAGACUGAUGUGGAGGUGAAGAAUUGAAUCAGGAUGAUAACAUCUACUUCCUAAUUCUUUGGCCUUAUUCAUGGAUCUGAAAUGUUUGAGCUCACUCGUUCAGCUGUUCCUUUUGAAAUUCUUACUUAGAGCAAAGUGGCCUCUGGGUUCCCAGCCUGUCAAGAAGCAAACUCCACAUGGACCCUGGAGCCACAAGCUUUCUCUCUUGAGCUCCUAAUCUAUCCACCCUGGCAGCUCCACCAGUACAUUUUGACAAGAAAACAAUAAGAAAAUAAAGGUA
rnacentral:lncRNA from 12 species